rnacentral:rRNA from 1 species
UACGUAGGUGGCAAGCGUUGUCCGGAAUUAUUGGGCGUAAAGCGCGCGCAGGCGGUCCUUUAAGUCUGAUGUGAAAGCCCACGGCUCAACCGUGGAGGGUCAUUGGAAACUGGGGGACUUGAGUACAGAAGAGUAGAGUGGAAUUCCACGUGUAGCGGUGAAAUGCGUAGAGAUGUGGAGGAACACCAGUGGCGAAGGCGACUCUUUGGUCUGUAUUGACGCUCGGACACGAAAGCAUGGGGAGCGAACGGG